rnacentral:rRNA from 1 species
UACGGAGGGGGCGAGCGUUAUUCGGAAUUAUUGGGCGUAAAGGGCGCGUAGGCGGCUUCUUAAGUCAAAGGUGAAAUCCCUCGGCUCAACUGAGGAACUGCCUUUGAAACUGGGGAGCUUGAGUCCGGGAGGGGGUAGCGGAAUUCCCAGUGUAGCGGUGAAAUGCGUAGAUAUUGGGAGGAACACCAGUGGCGAAGGCGGCUACCUGGACCGGAACUGACGCUGAGGCGCGAAAGCCAGGGGAGCAAACGGG